CUGGGUAUUUCUCAGUGAUGCUGAGCACCGUGUACAAAUCACACAUUAUCUUCUGCUGCUGUAACUACUUGGCAAAAGUAAGAAGUCUGUACCUCCACCAGUUGCUAUGUUAAAGCAGUUCUAGGGAGGCAGACACUUCUAAGGAUUUCUCAUGCUUACUCCGUUACUUCAUCCACAAAUAUAAUGAGAAGCAAGCCCUGUAGGUAUUAGUCAGUCCCUGCUGCUUAUGGUCUUCAUCUUCUGUUGUUGGAAUAAUUAUGCCAUCUGGAGGUAGGUCUGGAUAGAAUUCAGAGGCUGUUAGUGGGAGCAUGCCCAGCAGGACAUCGCUCCUUUGCUUCCUAGGAGCAGAUCCAACUCGCAGACCUCACUGGUGGGACUGUUAGUUCUCAUCAGGCUACAAAUCACCACUGUCUUCUGUGUCAAUAAACCGAAGCGCAGAAAAUAUGUGGCCCCAAUUUCACCACUCAAUUCUCCUGUUUCACAUUCCAGUCAGGAUGCAUUUUUGAAGGACCACAGAAAUGUGCAGUUUAAAACCUGUCUAGUAAACUUCCUUGAUCCCAAGGCACAGGCUUAGAAUUUAAGUCACUUUCUUUUUUUGUUGUUGUUGUUGUUUUUGCUGCCUUUUGGAACAGUUUCAUUUUCCUGCUUGGCUCAAAGCAUCUCAAAUCCAGACAGCAGCAACAACACGUUGUAUCCUGCGGUGCAAGCUGUGAGUUGGGGCCGUUGGGACCUCUGUGCUGACUGCAUGAAAUUACAGGCAGUUACCCCAUUCCUGGAAGGGCUGGAAAUUCUUGCAGUACCUCACAGUACCACAGAGUUCUGCUGUUGAGGCAGUACAGAAGGAACCCUGUGACUUUCCAGGCAAAGAGCGGAACUGCACAGCCUCCUCUAGAUCAUCACACACAGCACAGGGUUCAGCAGAGCCUUCCAUGAGCUUUCUCUAACAGACAAUGCUAGGUCACUUUAUUUGUGAGGUCCCUGCAGCAGGCCAGGCUCUCCAGGAAUCCUCCAAUUUCAUGCUGGGCUUCAGUCUGGUUGUGCUACAGGCCUCACGGUCCUGAUCCCAGAAUAAACAAACAUACAACAGCCAGAAGCUCUGGAAGAACAGCCCUUUCAUGGGUCAUUGGGCAAUGGGACAAAAGCACUGACUGUACCUCGAGGCAUUCAGA
rnacentral:lncRNA from 1 species